rnacentral:rRNA from 1 species
UAAUACGUAGGGGGCGAGCGUUGUCCGGAUUUAUUGGGCGUAAAGAGCUCGUAGGCGGUUCGGCAAGUCGACGGUGAAAUCUCCACGCUCAACGUGGAGGGGUCCGUCGAUACUGCCGUGACUCGAGUCCGGUAGGGGAGUGUGGAAUUCCCGGUGUAGCGGUGAAAUGCGCAGAGAUCGGGAGGAACACCCGUAGCGAAGGCGGGUCUCUGGGCCGAUACUGACGCUGAGGAGCGAAAGCGUGGGGAGCGAACAGGA